AGAGGUCCCUAAAAUGAACCAACCAGAUAAGAGACCAGAGUUACAGAAGAAUCUGUAAAAGGAGAAGGAUCCUUUUCCUCCAAAGGCAUGUAGUCCCCAAAUAGAAACAAUCAAGAAAGAAGAGUAGUAAAAAAGAAGAUACAAACUUUUACUUAAAGGGAAAUGACCCAGUGAAAAAUAAAUACCAUCUAUCUAAGCUUGAACCAUGCUGCAACUCCCACCAGAGGCAGAUAAUCCAGCUAUGAUACUCCUCCCCACCCAAUUCUUCCAGGAUUGUUAGAUACCUGAGGUAGCUCAGGUGAAGUCCGGGGCUCCUGUGGGUCUCCACCUCCACAUCACUGCUGGGUUCUGAACAGGAAAAAACAAACAGAGUCUUGGUGGGAGAAGGGUAGGAACAGAGGCCUAUGUUUGUUACAAUAAAGAAGUCUGACAAAAUGGCAAGAGCUCUGGGCACUUCCAAGAUUCCCUC
rnacentral:lncRNA from 1 species